CUACGGGAGGCUCCAGUGGGGAAUAUUGCGCAAUGGGGGAAACCCUGACGCAGCAACGCCGCGUGAAGGACGAAGGUUUUCGGAUCGUAAACUUCUUUGAUUGGGGAAGAAUAAAUGACGGUACCCAAAAAACAAGCCACGGCUAACUACGUGCCAGCAGCCGGGGUAAUACGUAGGUGGCAAGCGUUGUCCGGAUUUACUGGGUGUAAAGGGCGUGUAGGCGGGGAGGCAAGUCAGAUGUGAAAUACCACGGCUCAACCGUGGGGGGGCAUCUGAAACUGCUUCUCUUGAGUGCUGGAGAGGAAAGCGGAAUUCCUAGUGUAGCGGUGAAAUGCGUAGAUAUUAGGAGGAACACCAGUGGCGAAGGCGGCUUUCUGGACAGUAACUGACGCUGAGGCGCGAAAGCGUGGGGAGCAAACAGGAUUAGAUACCCCCGUAGUC
rnacentral:rRNA from 1 species